rnacentral:rRNA from 1 species
GGCGAACGGGUGAGUAACACGUGAGCAACCUGCCCCUGGCUCUGGGACAACCACUGGAAACGGUGGCUAAUACCGGAUACGACCUAUCACCGCAUGGUGUGUGGGUGGAAAGUUUUUCGGCUGGGGAUGGGCUCGCGGCCUAUCAGCUUGUUGGUGGGGUGAUGGCCUACCAAGGCGACGACGGGUAGCCGGCCUGAGAGGGCGACCGGCCACACUGGGACUGAGACACGGCCCAGACUCCUACGGGAGGCAGCAGUGGGGAAUAUUGCACAAUGGGCGAAAGCCUGAUGCAGCGACGCCGCGUGAGGGAUGACGGCCUUCGGGUUGUAAACCUCUUUCAGCUCCGAAGAAGCGAAAGUGACGGUAGGAGCAGAAGAAGCACCGGCUAACUACGUGCCAGCCGCCGCGG